GCCAACUUGUUGUAGUGGUUUGAGUGUUGGACUAUGACUCUGGAGACCAGGGUUCAAAUCUCUGAACAGCCA